CGUAUAGGUCGUCCCGGAUUCGUCCGUCACUCCGUCAUCGUCACUCACUACUUUGGUGGAUUGGUGAUGCGUUUGUUGUUUUUGUUGUUGUUAUAUCACUGUACACAACUAAACAUCGCGUCGCAGGAUAUACCGAUAGUGCCGAGCCUGUAGUUUACUUUAAUUAUCAUCGACGGAUCAAACUAAAGUAAUAAAGUGUAGAUGUAUACCUGUACCUACGGUGUGCCGGCCUAUAUAUUCAUUGUACACAGUACAUAUAGUAAUAGGGCAUCGUGCAGCAAUAAUAUAGUACACGGUGCGCGAGCAGUGUAAAUAUAUUACUUACCUUGGUUUCUGCUCUUGUUUUUUGGUGCAAAUUCACGCAACACGCAUCAUUAGACUUCAGUCUGCACUCAGUGACAAACCUUUUAACAGCCUUUUAAUUCGCAACUAUACCUUACUUAAUAGUGUUCAUGUAAAAUGACAUGUGAUUUCUGAUUUGACGUGUACCUACUCGUAGUAAGUACGUGUGAAUUUGUGGUGUUAUGUUUCCAGUGGAGCUGUAAGCAUUUAAAAGUGUAAGAGUACACAGGUGAUUUAAAAUCUCCACGGCCCUGCGCGCCUUCUUUCUCUUCCUCUUUUCCUUUCCAUUUUGUCAUAAAACCCGUGUACCUAUUCGUAGCUGUACAACCAAUAUAACAAAAGCUGAACAACAUCUGUCAGGAUUGGAUUGUACUUAAUCACUUUUUGGUUCUCCGCGACUUUAGCGGAGGAAAGUGCAAAUUUUCGGGAGACACCGCAGCAGUAGCCAACAACUGAACAACGAAACGUAAUUCUCGUCAGCGUCGUCAUAUAUACCUACUCGUCAUCCAAUCGAAUAGCGGAUCAAUCGCUGUGUAAAAAAAUAUACAUCUAUACUAAUAACAACACCUCUAAUUUCCGAUUGAGCCUACUUAUCCUUUUUUCUCCUUCCGUCUUUGAUCCCCCCUUGAGCCCGUCUUUCGCUCCCCCAUAGCUAUUAGGUACACCUAUAUACCUAUUCUCUCCGUUUCGCAUCAUCUCUCUUUUAUAUAUUAUCGCCUCCUCUCUUUUGCUCUGUCUAUCUGUCUGGCUCGCUCUCACUCCGAUCCUCCGAUGACCUGCUCCAGAGAGAGUUUUUGAGACCCGAGAAACAAAACCGCAAGUGCCUCUAAAGCCUCGUCGUUCAUUUAAAUGAAAUCAUGCCUCUGUUUGGGAAAUCUCAAAAGAGCCCAGCAGAGGUGGUGAAAGCUCUGAAAGAAGCAGUCAAUGCAUUGGAGCGUGGUGAUAAAAAAGUCGAAAAAGCUCAAGAAGAUGUGAGCAAAAACUUGGUACACAUUAAAAAUAUGCUAUACGGAACUGCCGAAUCGGAACCUCAGGCCGACAUCGUUGUUGCUCAAUUAGCGCAAGAACUCUACAACAGUAAUCUUUUACUCCUUCUUGUUCAGAAUCUUAGUCGAAUAGAUUUCGAGGGUAAAAAAGAUGUUGCUCAAGUAUUCAAUAAUAUUUUAAGAAGACAAAUAGGUACAAGGUCUCCUACAGUAGAAUAUAUUUGUACUAAGCCAGAAAUUUUGUUUACUCUAAUGUCAGGAUAUGAACAUCAAGAUAUUGCAUUAAACUGUGGUACAAUGUUACGAGAAUGUGCGCGGUACGAAGCAUUAGCGAAAAUCAUGAUUUAUUCAGACGAUUUUUACAAUUUCUUUAGAUAUGUCGAAGUUUCCACGUUUGAUAUAGCUUCAGAUGCCUUUUCUACGUUUAAGGAACUUCUAACUAGGCAUAAAAUUUUAAGUGCUGAAUUUUUGGAAGUCAAUUAUGAUAAAGUUUUCUCUCACUAUCAGAGGUUACUAAAUUCAGAAAAUUAUGUCACACGUAGACAAAGUUUAAAAUUAUUAGGAGAACUUUUGCUAGACCGACACAAUUUUACUGUCAUGACAAGAUAUAUCUCAAACCCAGACAAUUUAAAAUUAAUGAUGAACAUGCUGAAAGAAAAGUCUCGCAACAUACAGUUUGAGGCCUUCCACGUUUUCAAGGUGUUCGUGGCAAACCCAAAUAAACCUAAGCCCAUUCUAGAUAUUUUACUACGAAAUCAAGAAAAAUUAAUAGAGUUCCUUACACGCUUCCACACAGAUCGUUCAGAAGACGAACAAUUUAAUGACGAAAAAGCUUAUCUAAUCAAGCAGAUCAAAGAGCUUAAGCCUGUACAUGAAAAUUAACCUUUUCGACGUUUUAAUACUCUGCCAUCUUCCAUCGAUAAUUUAAUUUCGAGAUUUCAUUACCGCAGAAAAAAAUAUAACGUGCCUACGCAUUUUACGAGCCUACUCUGUUACACCACGUAAUCAUGCAAUUGUUGUAUUUUUAUUGAAAUACUUUUAAUUGUACUAUAUUCUUUCGCUUAUUGGCUGUAAUUUUAAGAAUGAAAUAUCCCAAUGGUGGCGAUGAUAUAGUGAAAGACAUUUUGCUAAAAUUAGAAAAA
rnacentral:misc_RNA from 1 species